rnacentral:lncRNA from 1 species
AAAAGUACUUGAACCUCAUCGUGAAAAGAUCUCAGAGAUCCCUAGGGGCCUGCAGCCAGAAGUUGAGAACUGCUGCAAUAGAGCUGUGGUUCUCAAACUUCAGUGUGCGUCAAAAUCACCCACCCAUUAAAAUGCAGAUUGCUGGAUCCGCCGCAAGGGUUUCUGCCUCAGCAGUUCUGAGGUGGAGACCAAGCACGUGCCAUCUAACAGUUCCCAGGUGAUGCCUGAUGCCGUUGGUCGGAAGACCAUAAUUUAAGAGCCACUUCCACAGAAGGUCGUUUGCAUAUCUUGGCUGUU